rnacentral:rRNA from 1 species
CGGCAACAGCUCAAAUUUGAAAGCUAGCCUUCGGGUUCGCAUUGUAAUUUGUAGAGGAUGAUUUGGGGAAGCCGCCUGUCUAAGUUCCUUGGAACAGGACGUCAUAGAGGGUGAGAAUCCCGUAUGUGACAGGAAAUGGCACCCUAUGUAAAUCUCCUUCGACGAGUCGAGUUGUUUGGGAAUGCAGCUCUAAAUGGGAGGUAAAUUUCUUCUAAAGCUAAAUAUUGGCGAGAGACCGAUAGCGCACAAGUAGAGUGAUCGAAAGAUGAAAAGCACUUUGGAAAGAGAGUUAAAAAGCACGUGAAAUUGUUGAAAGGGAAGCGCUUGCAAUCAGACUUGUUUAAACUGUUCGGCCGGUCUUCUGACCGGUUUACUCAGUUUGGACAGGCCAGCAUCAGUUUCGGCGGCCGGAUAAAGGCUCUGGGAAUGUGGCCUCCACUUCGGUGGAGGUGUUAUAGCCCGGGGUGUAAUACGGCCAGCCGGGACUGAGGUCCGCGCUUCGGCUAGGAUGCUGGCGUAAUGGUUGUAAGCGGCCCGUCUUGAAACACGGACCAAGGAGUCUAACAUCUAUGCGAGUGUUCGGGUGUCAAACCCCUGCGCGUAAUGAAAGUGAACGGAGGUGGGAACCGCAAGGUGCACCAUCGACCGAUCCUGAUGUCUUCGGAUGGAUUUGAGUAAGAGCAUAGCUGUUGGGACCCGAAAGAUGGUGAACUA